UUUCUCAGCCUAAAGCAGACCCAGCGUUUGCUGGCAGUGAGCUGCGCUCCACCCAGCCCUGUAGCUGCUCCGCCUGCUGGGGAGGCAGGGGCGUAAGCAGUCCUGCUGCUGGGCUGAGCUGCUGGAAUCUGUUCCCAGCUACCAGUGUGCCCUGCUCACACGCUUUGCUGUUCCCGGAUCGGGAUGCUUCACUUCCUCGGCUGUUUUUAAUACAUGCAAUCAGCGACUGCUGCAAUUAGGAGGCCUAAUUAGCAUCUGAAUAGGACUUCUCACCCACUCCUUACAACAGCAGCAAACAAGCCAUGAGGACACGAGCUGCACCGGGAACUUCCCUUGCACCGGGCAAUCAGGAGCUCUUCUACCCCUACACCCAUGGUGCUGCCAUGGGAAUCCAUCAUUUUAGCCAGGCAGUUAUGUGAGGCUUCCUCUAAGUGCACAGCUCUAGGAGCAGCUGCUCAGGCCCUGCUGCAUCCAGAUGAGCCCUGCUCUGGACAGGGACACGGCUCAGUGCUCAGAGCGAACCAGAAGCAGAGCCAGCACACAGGGGCUCCCACUGCACCCAGAAAUACCCGGACCCAGAGUAGCCCCUUCCCCAUGCAGCCCCCCGGCAUCCCCCAACAGCCCCGUGGGAGAGCUUGGAGCUGCAUGGGGUGCAACUCCAAUGAGAUGCUGUGCACAAUCCCUGGUGACACAGCACAGCACACACCACCUAUCCAGCCAAGGAACUUGCUUGCCAAACUGGAUGACUUUAUUGUUAUUUUUCCCAUUCAUCUCCUGGUCAUAUUCAUUAUAGAACCACACACCAUCAGCACACCAACCACAGCCAAGGCCCGGUCAUAAUCCCAGCUUCUUCUCAGCGUGACCAGGUCAAGUGUAGCCCCCUCUGUUGUACCCAGACAGUAAUUUGUGGCUGAGAGGGUAUUAAUUUUCAGGAAUUAUUUCAUUUUCUUGCAACGUUAGAGGUUAAUUAAAUGCUGGCUAAUUGCUACCAGUCAUUGGAGAAAUUUUGCUCCUGAGUCCAUUCAUGGUCUGAAUGCACCAAAAGGAAGAAAGAAAGAAUGGAGAAAAGAAAGAAGCCCUUUCAUGACCACAGAAAAUUGCAAAAGGAUGUUUCUUCCAACCUGACAUGACAAAAUUGAAUUCCAAGCUAUUUAAUGCAUGCACGAAACACCAUAAAAAAGCCCAUCCUGAUCACUCCACCCACCACAGCGGGACGCGGUUUCAAGACCAUGAGCAGAGCAGCCAGCUCUGGGCUCCAGGCGUUCCGCUGGGAGUAAUGACCCGACGGGGUUCUCACAGACAGGGCUGUCGCCAGCAUUUCCAGUGGGACAUACAGCUAAGGGAACACUGCGGUUAUUAUCAACAUUAACGAUGGUGACUUUGGGAAUCCCCCAACCUGCCGUCUGGGCGCUGGGGCUGUGCCCACCAGGACAGCACGUCCCAGCCCGGCGUCCCCCAGGGUGGCACCUGGGGAAAGGGGCACGGGGAGCUCGUUGGGGUGUCCUUAAAAGUGGGGUUUCAUGGGUUACACCGUCACGAGGAUCAUGUCAUGCAGCCUGACAAAACACCUCUGUACACGUGCCCGGCGGCAGGGCUCAGACCGGCGUGGUUCGUCUGUUGGCCGGGUUGUUGUGCAAAGACUCCUUAAACUCUUUGGGGAUGGAGUUGUGGACCUGUAAAAAACCGUGGUCCCGCUCCGAGUUGAGCAGCGUCCCCAUGGUGACCUUGGAGGGAUCCCUGGAGAGGGUGAACAUGGAGAUGUCGGUGGAGGGGAUGGUGCCGAAGCCCUUGCUGAUGGGCGACAUGUCCCGGGAGCGCGGCUCGGUGGAGCGCGAGCUGGACCGCCGGCGGAAGCGGUACCGGUAGGGGGGCAGGCGGGUGAAUGCCGACCGCUUCAGCAGCUCCGAGUGGGACCUGGCGCGGAUCUGGCGGUGCUUCUCGAUGUACAUGUGCACGGCGAUCACCCCCACCAUCUCGGCGAUGAUGAAGGACAGCGCACCAAAGUAGAAGGACCAGCCGUAGGAGUAGCUCUUCUUGGAGUCGCUCUGCCCCGGGUCCCCCGCGUUGGCUGAGAUGUAGACGAUGAUCCCGAUGAUGUUGCUGAGACCUGUGGGAGGAGGAGAGGGAUGGGACCAGCAGCAUCCCUACAGGGUCAGCCCCAGUUCCCACCUGCACGAAGCAAAGUGACUCUGUCUCUCAGUUCCUGACGGAGCCCAAAGACUUUCUUUGGGUUUUGGGCAAUUUCUGCACUGCCAGCAGAGCUUCAGGGCUGGGAAGCUGCUGAUACAUUUCUGUAUUUACUUAAUGAAUCGAUUAUGUUUUUUUCUGUUGUUUUCUCAUCUGCAUCAGCGGCUUCUUCCAGCCAGGAGAGGGAGAGUAAUUUGUCUCUUUGUGGGGAGAAGAAAAACACAGAAUAGAGCAGUUCCUUGAGACAAAGACAUUGUCGUAAGAUAAUCAGUGGGAGCGCUGGGGAGCUGUGCACAGAGAGGAGCAGCCCUGAUGGUACUGCUCUGCAGGAAAUCUGCAGCAGCCACUCCACCUGCUGCCCAGCACUGCAGGCUUCACAGGGCUGAGGGCAGAUUCCGCACAACCUGCCCUGUGUUGGACUCUCAGUGGCACUGUGUGGGUUUUCCCCCCUGCUUCUGGGACAGCUCCGCAGCUGAGCCCCCUGUGCUGCUGGCCUUGGGGACCCGAACCUGCCCCCAGCCUCUGUGCUCCCCAGCAAGCCCAGAGCCCAUCACCUGCUGAAACGAAGAAGAUGCCGGCGCUGAGGAUGACGUUGUGUUUGCUCUUGUAGAACUCGCUGGCUGCCACGCACAGACCCCCAAAGAAGAGCAGGCCCACACUGAGGAUGGGGAAGAUGCUGGAGGCUCUGACAGCACCUGUGGUGUAAAGACAGGGCACAGGCUGAAGGACCAUAUGUUGGCACACAGGCUGCUGCUAUGGCCCUAUGGAUAUCAGAUCUCAGGAGUUACUACUUAAAGAGGGGUCUUUUCAUCCUUUCAGAAGUUCAGCCUCCAAACUGACUGCAAAGAGCAAUUAAUGCAGCAAAUCCCUCCCUGCUGCUAAAACAAAGGCACCUAAAAUAUGCUGUGCCUUGGUUUGGGCUCUCAUGCCUCUCUUAGGGCCCAUAUUAAAUGCACAGUAAUACAGAGGAGCCCCAUUAAAAUGCCAUUCUGGGGGCUUUAAAA